rnacentral:tRNA from 1 species
GAGGGUACAGCUCAAGUGGUAGAGCACAUGCUUAGCAUGCAUGAGGUCCUGGGUUCGAUCCCCAGUACCUCCU